rnacentral:misc_RNA from 1 species
UGUGGGAGCGGGCUUGCUCGCGAUGCGGACGGCGCGGUCUUUGCGUUAAAUCGCGUAGAUGCCAUCGCGGGCAAGCCCGCUCCCACA